AUGCAAUGGUGUGGGCACUUCCUCAAAAGCUCUUUAUGUCUCUCCCAAGCUUCAUAUAAUGAUUCCCCUUCUUGCUACACGAAUGAUGUGAUCUCACCUCUUAACUU